rnacentral:misc_RNA from 1 species
AAUGUCGUAACAAGGUCUCCGUAGGUGAACCUGCGGAGGGAUCAUUACAAGUGACCCCGGGUCUAACCACCGGGAUGUUCAUAACCCUUUGUUGUCCGACUCUGUUGCCUCCGGGGGUCGAACCCUGCCCUUUCGGGACGGGGGGCCUCCGGGGUGGACACUUCAAAAUCUCUUGCGUAACUUUGCAGUCGAGUAAACUUAUAUAAUU